rnacentral:lncRNA from 1 species
AAGGCUUAUGAAGAGAGGAAGAGUUUUUCAAAUUUCAAUUGGAUCCAGUGGACUCAGACACGUGGCAAUGAUUUAAUGAAAAUAAAAAUAAAAUUAACACAACUAGAUUAUACCUUCUAUCUCUCGUGACUCUUCUUCUUUAUGCAUCAGAAACAAAACAAGCUCAUUUCUCAACCUCUCGAAACUACUCUUUUAAGAAGAACAAAAUACCAUGAAAAGCUUAACAUUCAACACAAGAUUAAACUUACAACCUCAUAAAGAAAAGCAAAGAAAGUAAAUCGAAGGCAGAAAAAGUGGCUACCUAUAAUGAAAAUGGUGGCCCGGUGUUUCCGGCACGGAGGAGGUCGGUGAACAGCGUUGCAAAGAUGCAGGGCAGCGUUGCCAGUCAUGCGCGGUGGUGUGACAUCAUUGACGGAGGACUGGAAGUUGGAUGCUUCGGCGGUGAUGUCGCAUGCGAUGUGGUGUUGUGUAGGAGGCAACGUGAAUACCAGUGGCUAUGCAGAUAUGUGGUGCUCGUUGCUCGCUUUUCGGCGAGUUGUUGGUUGUUUACAUGUUGUGUGGUGAUUUUGUGAUGAGCUAUGGAUUGUGUUUGCGGUGGAGUUACAGAUUGUCACGGUUUAGUUAUGAAUACAAGGUAACAACACACACUUAUCACCACCAAAAGCCAUUUCAAUCACCAUAAGGGCAUUGGAUUUUCUCUUUUUAAGAUGAAUUCUUCACACCCUUUUUAAAAUCACUCACUUGAAAAGUGGCAGGAAGUACACUUGGGUGUUUGUGCUUUCUACUUUGUGUUUCAGAAAAAUUGAAAGAGACCCAAAUUCCUAUAAAGUGUAAAUACGAUGUUUUUAUGGAGAAGGAUGGAGAUUAAAGGUGAUGUUGGUCGUGAUAUGAAAAAUGGUAGAUUGUUUCAUGUAUGUGUUAGGUUGGUAAUGAUGAUUAAGGAUUGUUUUGAGUGGAGAGUGGAGCAUAUGUGAUGGUUUGUGUUUAUGUGUUGACAGAGAAAAAGUGGUGAUGAGAAUGAUGAUGAUCAUGGUGUAUCGAAAAGAAAAAAAUUAUGGUUGUUUUUGUUGUGAUGAAGGUGAUGAAAGUUAUGAACCAAAUCCCUAAGAGAGUAGCGUGAUGUCCCUUUUAAGAAGAAAAAACCGAUAGAGGUGUAUUGUGAAGGAAGUGGGCAAUCCCUCUUUUUCUGAUUCAUUGCCAACUCCUCAUCUUGCAUUCCAAUCAAAUUGUGUUUCUCCUCCACCAAUAGAGAAAGAGUCCACAAAAUGAGACCCACUCAUUUCCAUCUCACUUUAAGAGAUCUGAGAGAUAUUUUGACUCUCUCUUGGAUUAAUUACACGCGUUUUAGGGAGAGGGUCCCCUUAUUGGACAAACUUGUGGCACAAAACUUAUUGGAGGGUUUCCUAAGUGUCUAACAAUAUCCUUAAUUAUUAAUUUAUGAGAUAAACUGAGUUAAAACAAAUUAAUCACAUGAAUCUCAAACAAUUUUAUAUAAUCAAAUAAAAAAAUCACAUAGUAAAAUCUAUUUAUUUUUUAUGAACACGUUGACGAAAAAACAAAAAUAAAAUGAAUCAAAAUAAAUAAAAAUUGUUAGAACAAGAUUUUGGUUCUGCAAUAUAUCUCUAAGUUUUGAUGAUAACAAAGAAUGAAAUAAUUUGGUACCCUGAUAAUUUUCUCUAAGUGUGCAAGUUUCUAAGGAAAAAUGAAUCUGAGGAAAACGAUAUCUGGCAUCUAACGUAGUCCAAAAAAGCUUAUCCAAAAAUGAAGAAAUCAUAUCUGACUCUGAACAAGAACAUUUCUGAAAGAAUCACAUACAUAAUCUGACAUUGAAGUUCAUAUCCGAUGUCUGAAGACUCUACAUUUGAUGACUCUGAAAGACAACAUCAAACACUCUAUUUGAAGACUAUUCAAUAAACAACUAUUUGAAGACCAGUUAAGAGAAUAUCUAAAGACUACAAGAUUCUGCUCAAAGACUCUGACUCUGCUCACUCUGAUUCUCACUCAACAAAUCAUCUGACUCAUCAAAAUCAGAAACUUAAUCAAGAAGUAGUCUAAGUAUGGUACAAAUCUCUAUAAGGAAAUUACGGAUUAUGCUCCAAUACUGCUAUGGAAAUGACAAGAAAGUUAAUUUCAUUAAGUCUAAUAAUGGACAAGAAAUCUCCCAUAAUUUCCCUCCAACAGUAUCAUCUCAAAGUAUUAUAUAAAGGCCUCAUCAUCAUUCUGAAAAACAUAGAAUACACAAGAAUUCUAUAAUACAUUUCAUCUACAUACUCAAUAUACUUUCAUUGUAAAAUUCAGUAAUCACACAAGAGUUGUUGCUCAUAGUGUGAUCAUUGAUCCGUGUUCUUAAUUGUGUUGAUGCUGCUUACUUAUAAGCACUAAGGCAAACACGCGUACUUCUAUAAAUUUGUUGAUAUUCCUCAAGUGACUUGUUUAAGUCUGUAGACUUGAGAGAAAUAAGAGAUUGUUGAACUCUUAGAUGUUUUUGUAAUCUAUUGAGAUGAUUGGAUUAAGUCCUUUUUGAAGGCGAAAUCACAUUGGCCGGGUGGACUGGAGUAGCUUUGAUUUUCAAGCGAACCAGGAUAAAUUUCUUAUGUUGUUAGUAUUUUCUUUCGUGUGAGUGGUGUUGCAAAAGUUUUUUAUUAUUGGGAAAACAAUUCAAACCCCCCUUUCUUGUUUUUCUCUACCUUUAAAAAUUGGCCGCAAAAAUACCUAGAAAAAUAAAAUAAAUGCACCAGAAUGAUCAACGUGAAAUAUACUUUUGGAAAAUAUGUAGGUUUUGAUCAAAUUUUGAAGUAAAACAUGCCCAGUUGAAAAGGCUCAAGCUAAUCAAAAUGCGGUUGUAAGAAGAGUCAAAAAAUUAAAAUGAGAACGCCAGGUUAAACUACCUGAACCAUAGAUUAAUAAAACUAACGUCUGCAAGCUCGAUUUUGAAAGUUUUUGCCCGCUAAUUUACGUACAUUCAAAGAACAAUUCAACCAGUUUGUCUGUAGAUCCGAAAACUUAUUUUGGUUGACCUAUGGUCGACUUCACAUAAUAUAUGAGGCGAUGAAGAUGCAUAAAAUGCAAUUAACUCAAUUUUUGAAUUUAAAACGAAUUGAAAAUUGACUGAAUGUUGACUUUACUAACUGAUGCAAAUGUUUUUUAUGAAUGAAUGCUUGGGGGAAAAUCAGGGUAUGACAAUAUCACACAAGAGAAUCACACUCUUGAUGAAAAAUAGAUAAGCAUGGAUACCAGUACAACCAAAAACUCUUUGAACUAUUUUUCACGCACAAGGCGUUAAGGCAACUUUAGUGAAAGAAUGUAAAAAUGAGAGAAGAGUGAAAAUAAGAAAAUGAUAGUAGGAAUUCAAAUUUCGUUGUGAUUGGAAAUGAGGAGAAUCCUCUUUUAUAUAGGAAAUUAUUUGGAUAAAAAAGGAAAUGAUCCAUGGACCAAAUUUAAUGUCAUAAUUAAUCAUCUGACAAUAAAAUUUAAUGAUCCAUUAGGCUAACCGAUUAUGAUCUCCAAAAUGUGGCAACCCUGAUUCCGAAAAAAGGAAACCACUAAUGGUUAUUGUCUUAAUUGAUUAGGAGUGUUUCUAAUCGAUAAGGAAGUCAUUUCCCUUUACCUAAUCUAUUAGAACAAGUCCAUGAUUGAGUAGGCAACAUUAAAUCUUCCCUAAUUGAUUAAAAAUAAUUUGUAAUCACUUUGUAAUCAAUCAAUCACAAGCCUUGAUAUAUUUCAAAAAGAUUUGAAUAUGUUUUAGAAAAAGAGAGAGGUUUAAAACUAUUUUUCGUGCGCGCACAUGAGUAUGUCUAUGUGUGUGGGUAUGCGCGUGCGCGCGCGCGUGUGUGUGUGUGUGCGUGUGUGCGCGUGAGUGUGUGUGUGUGUGUGUGUGUAUGCGUGUGUGUGUGUUUCCCUAGUAUCUUAGGAGGUACUCUUAUACCUUUACAAUAUAUUGAUCACUUAGACACAUGACCAGUCAAGAUUUUAUAUUUGUACUCUUUCACAAUUUUAAAGCUUCAAGAUCCUUUGCUAGAUUCAUCAAUGAUUCCACACUUCAUCUGGGUCUUGACUUCUUUUGUCUUAUAAGAAUUUAUAUGACUUUUUUAAUAGACACUAUCACUCUAGGUUGCUUCAUUAGAUCUCUUCAAUGACUCCACCAAAUGCUACUUGAUAUUAAGUAUUAUCAGCUUCAAAACCAACAAAUCAUAUGCUAUUAAGAUCAUCUGCAUAUGAGUGUACCUUUAAGCACAUAGCUCCACAAGAUGAAACAAAGACUUAAGUGCGGAAGAUAAAAUAUAAGAAAUUAAAAGAGAAGAGUUAAAAAUGCACACCGAUAUUUAUACUUUGUUCGGCCUUAAACCACGCGGUCUACUCAAGUCCCCAAGAGUCCUGCCUUUUGAGUUUCACUCUUAACUUAAGUUUUUAUCACAAAACUAUUAUAUAACCUCUUUACACAUAACUUUUACUCAUUUUAGUUUACAACCUUUAUAUUAAUUAUAAUGUCACAAGAGAACAAAACUCUUGAUAUACAAUUAUAGUACGAUCUAAUCAAACAUUAAAUUACAUAAAUCUUACUUUAAGAGAGAGAGAGAGAGAGAGAGAGAGAGAGAGAGAGCGCACUAAAAUAAUGAAAAGUGUAUAAAACAGUUUCUAAGAAGAAAAUGCGUAAGAGAGAAGAGUAUAAAUUAUAUUUUGGUGUUUUAAAGUUAACAAAAGGUCUCUUUUAUAUAUGAGAAGAGAUUUUACCAAAAAAAGGAUAAACAAUUCAUGAGCUGGUGCCGCUCUCUAGUCGAUUAGCCUUUGACGCUAAUCGAUUAGGCCUAACUAAUUAAGAAAGAAACUAGCGAGAUUCAGUGGCGGUGAGCUCACUCCAUGAUCGAUUAGAUACAUGUUCUAAUCGACUAGAGAGCAUAUUUUCACUUUUCUAAUUGGUUAGGAAACCUCCUAAUCAAUUAACAAAUGACCAUAAAUAAUUUUAAAGAAGUUUUAAAAAGAGAUGAAGUUAGUAAAAUCAUUUUGACUGUGUGUGCAUUACUUUAGUACUUUGAAAACUACUCACACUUAACUACACAUUAUUGAUCAUAAACAGAUAAAAUACACCAAAUCACUAAAUCAUACGAGCUUUCAAUGACUUCAAUUCUUUUGAUGUUGAUAUUUAUCAUUUGACUGUCUUUGCUCUAAAUACCGGAACCUUUUUUGCUUCAUUUUUUGAUAAACUUAAAUAUUUUUCUUCUUUGAUAAAGCUCAUGAUUAUUUUACUUUAUUCUUUUAUCAUCAUCAAAAUCACAAUUGAAUUCACAAAUGCUUGUAUAAUACAUAUAACCACAUGAAGAAUUUGAAAUUCUAAGGGAAACUUAGAGGGACAAUGGUAAAAAUUCAUAGGAUUAUGUUAUUGGAAUUUGAGAAAUCUUUAGAGGUAUCUAAGAGGAUUGAAAAAUACUUAUAACUGUUGGUGCAAAGGUAGAAUAUAUGAUGAAUGGAAAUAUUCUUAUUCAGAGAAUGAUGGCUACAAAAAGGAUUAAAAGUUACAAUGAUUGACACCCUAUUUAUAAGCCUCUAACAAACUUAAAUAUGAAUGCAAUCUAAUAUUUAAAUCUAAUAUCUAACAAACUUAAAUAUGAAUCAAAUCUAAUAUUUAAAUCUAAUAUCUAACAAACUUAAAUAUGAAUUAAAUCUAAUAAUUAAAUCUAAUACCAUCCCUUAAUUCAUAUUCCAUCAAAACUUGUAACACCAAUUCCAUCCCUUAAUCUGAGAAAUGAUCAGUCUUGAUAGCUUUCGUCAGAACGUCUGCCAACUGCUUCUGAGUGCUGCAGUGUACAACUUCUAACACUCCCCUCUGAAUUGAUGUCUCAGAAAAUGAUACUUGGUCUCAAUGUGCUUGCUUCUCCCAUGCAACACUGGGUUCUGGCAAGAUUGAUUGCAGACGUUGUCGAAUCAUCAGCUCAGACUUUAAUCUUCAGAUCCUGCAAUAGAUUCAGAAUCCACACAGCUUGGCAUGCAGUAACAGCAAUCUUACAAUUCUUCAGAUCAAAUCUCUUCAGAAGUUUCAAUUCAUACUUGAGCUGAUGCAAAAUAAUACCUUUCUCAGAGUAUCUGAACUCCAUCCCUAGAAAGUAUGGUCAUUUUGCCUAGAUCAGUCAUUUCGAAUUCAUUCAUCAGAACUUUCUUGAACUUGGCUACUCUUGUUCAGAACUUCCAGUCUUGUUUCUCUCAUAGCAUCAAGUUCUUCUUUCAUGGCCUUCAGCCAGAGCUUCUGCUAGAGCUCUUCUGUACUUAUGGGUUCAGAGUCUACUAACAUGGCACACUGAAUAACUUCUCCUUCAGAGUCUACUUCAGUGUCUUGCAGCAUGUCAAAUUCUGCAUAUCUUCUGGGGAUGUUUUCUGACUCUUGUGGUCUCUGAACUUGUUCAGAGUCUUCAACUUCAGAGUUUCUACCUUCAGAUGGUUGACUUCCUCCAAGAGCUUUGACCAUCUUCAGGGCUGGCAUAUUUCCAGAGUCUGAAUGCCACUAGAAUCUGGAUUACCAUCAGAGUCUGGGUCAUCAGAGUCUGGAUCAUCAGAGUCUGAAACAUCAGAGUCUGGAACAUCAGAGUCUGGAACAUCAGAUUCUGGAUCACUAUCAGAGUCGAAUCAACAUCAGAGUUUACUCCAACCUCAGAAAUUCUGAACUCUGACCUUUCUUCAGAAGUUCUAACAUCAGAAUACAGAUUGAGACUUUUCCCAAUUCCAAACUUCUGAUUCCUUCAACAAUCACAUCUCUGCUGAUUCAAUUUUAUUGGUUUCUGGACAAUAGAGCUUAUAUGACACUGUACUGUGGUACCCUAUCAGAAUCAUCACUUUGCUUCUAUCAUCCAGCUUCUGUCUUCUGGCUUCUGGAACAUGUUUAUAGCAAACAGAACCAAACACCUUCAAAUGACUAACACUUGCUUAUCUCCAGUCCACUUCUGUAUUGGAACUAUUUCCUUCAACUUCUUCGUAGGACAACGGUUGAGUACAUACGUUGCAGUGGCAACAGCUUCUCCCCAGAGCUUCUGAGGAAGUUCUUCUCCUUUAGCAUGCUUCUCACCAUAUCAAGCAAAGUGCGGUUUCUUCUUUCAGCAAGACCAUUGUGUUGAGGGGUAUAAGGAGCAGUAACCUCAUGCUCAAUUCCAUUCUCCUCACAGAACUUCUGGAACUCUUUGGAGUUAUACUCACCUCCACCGUCAGUUCUAAGAAUCUUCAGCUUUUGACCACUCUGAUUCUCAGCUUCAUUCUGAACUUCUUGAAUUCAUCGCAAACACCUCGUGUUUGAACUUAAUAAGGGAUACCCAUGUCAUUCUUGUGAAUUCAUCAACAAAUAACACAAAGUAUUUAUUCCCUCCAUCGAUGCUACUGGAAAUGGACCACACACAUCAGAAUGUACAACUCCCAAGGCAUGUUUUGCUCUUGGAGCAGUUUCUGACGCAAAUGGCAAUCGUGGUUGUUUUCCUUCCAGCAAACUUGGCAUGACUUUUCAGGCUUCUUAAUUGCAGGAAUUCCAUGUACCAACUCUUUGAAUUCAGAUGUUUAACUUCUGAAAUUCAAAUGACCAAAUCUUCUGUGCCACAGCUCACUCUCUUCUCAGCACUUGUUGCACUAAGACAUUCUGAGUCUGCAGUUCUGACAUUCACCUUGAAUUUCUAUUCCUUCCCUGUUCUGACUCCAUAAUCAACUUCUGAUUGCAGUCAUACAGCUUCAGAAGAUUGUCCUUCAUGGUAAUGAAAACCUUUCUCAAUUAAUUGUCCCACACUCAUCAGAUUGCUUCUGAUGCCAGGUACAUCCACACGUUCUGAAUCAAUGUUGUUUUCCCAUUGUUCAGAGUCACUCUGACAUUUCCCAUACCUUCUGAAUUAAGAUAUUUGUCAUCAGCACAUCUGAUCUUUGUCCUCUUUCAGAGUCAAAGUCAACUAGCCAUUUCUUGUUUCCAGUAAGGAUGAUUUGAAGCGCCAGUGUCAUAUACCACCAGUCUAUCAAAUCCAUAUCACCAGAUUCAGAGGCCAUCAAUAGCACAGAUUCGUCAUCAGAACUUCUGGCUAUAUUGCUUCUUCUGAUUUUCCUCUUGUUGACCAACAGUCUCUAGCAAAGUGACCAAAUUCUUACAGCAGUAACAUUGGAUUUUCUUCUUGUCAUACUUCUCUUUCCUUCUGAGCAUUCUUUUGUUUAUCAGAGGUUGAGCUUUCUGACUUCUGACCACCAUCAGAUCUUCUCCUGGCUUCUGACUGCUUCGAUACCUCCUAUCAGAAGUUGCUUUCAGAGCCUGCUGUCUACUUCCCUUUCAGAAGUUCUCUCAGUUAAACGCAACUCUUGCGCUUCUAGACUGCUCUGCAGCUCUUCAAUUCAUGGUGCUCAGAUCUUUGGAAUGUUCUAUUGCUACCACAAGUAAAUCAAAUUAGCAGGUAAGGGAUCUCAAUACCUUCUCCAUGAUUGUUUCUUCAGAAAGAGUUUCUCACACGCUUUCAUCUCAUUAGUGAUCAGAAUCACUCUGGAGAUGUAUUCAGAAACUUUCUCAUUAUCUUCAUGUUGAGAUCUCAUAUUGCUUUCAAGGACUGAAGCUUCACCUUCUUCACUGAUGCGUCACCACCAUAACAUCUAACCAGUGGUGCCCAGCAGCCUUUGCUGUCGUUGAAUCUGCAAUCUUCUCAAACACAUUUACAUCAACACAUUGAUGAAUGAAGAACAAUGCUUUCUGAUCCUUCUUCCUUACUUCGCCUCCGCGUUUUUCUGUUCAUCCGUUGCAUCUGCUGCUACCGGAAUAUAACCAUCAAUGACAAGAUCUAGAACAUCUUGAGCACCGAACAGUACACGCAUUUGGAUCAUCCAACGAUUCCAGUUUUUACCGUCAAAUACUGGAAGUUGGGUGUUCAUGUGCCGUUCCGUUCAUCUUCUACCUUGCACAGUACACUCAGAUUUCUCACACAGUGUUUCCCAACCCACAGAAUUAAAAUUCUGAUCAGAUUUUGUUCAGAUUCAACACGAAUCUAAGAAUCAAAAUCAAACACAGCAAGACCUCACGUUCACUCGUGUUUCCGCGUGUUUCCCAAUGAAUCCGAACCGGAGCUCUAGAUACCAAUUGUUGGUGCAAAGGUAGAAUAUAUGAUGAAUGGAAAUAUUCUUAUUCAGAGAAUGAUGCUACAAAAAGGAUUAAAAGUUACAAUGAUGACACCCUAUUUAUAAGCCUCUAACAAACUUAAAUAUGAAUCAAAUCUAAUAUUUAAUAACUAAUCUAACAAACUUAAAUAUGAAUCAAAUCUAAUAUUUAAAUCUAAUAUCUAACAAACUUAAAUAUGAAUUAAAUCUAAUAAUUAAAUCUAAUAUAACCACUUGAGCUUGAAAUUCAUAUAUAUAUAUAUAAUAUAUAUAUAUAUAUAUAUAAUAUAUAUAUAUAUAAUAUAUAUAUAUAUAUAUAUAAUAUAUAUAUAGAGAGAGGAGAAGAGAGAGAGAGAGAGAGAGAAGAGAGAGAGAGAGAGAGAGAGAGAGAGAGAGAGAGAGAGAGAUUGAAAAUCUCUUGGGAGAAAAAGAAAGUUUGCUCUUCGAAUGAGUAACUAUUUUCUUGUACUUUUUGUAAUCUAUUGUAACAAUUUUUAAAAGUAUAGUGAAUCAAAUAGACAAUAUCUCGUUCAGAGUAGAUCAGUUUAAUCGAACAGGAUAAAUAAGUUUUUGUGUUCUUAUCUUUUGUUUUCUUAUUACUUGUUAUGUAUUUGCCUCCACUCUCCACUCUCGAAAGGUUAAUGUGUUUUUUUAAAUUAUUUAUUUUAAUUGUUAUUAUUUUUUGUCUCAGACAUUUUUAUUUUUGCCGAAUUUAAUAUUAAGAUUAAUAAACAAGAAUUUGGUAUGUUUAAAUUUAUAAACAAAUUCACUAUAUUGUUAGAGUUUUGUAAUUUAUGAAAAUAAAAAAUGCAUAUAAUGUAAGAUGAGUAUAAAAUAGUUAAAGGAUAAACAUGCAUAAAAUAAUUUAUUUUAUUGAAUCUGUCUUAAAAAGAACUACAAAUUUAUAAUUUAUGGGCAAACAUUAUUCCUACUGAUCAAAACAACAUAUGCCACCUAAUUGAAUUUUGUUCAGCCAUUUACAUUGAUAAUUUUGUGAAUUUUCAGUUAUGUAGAGUAUCUGCCGUCCCACAUUAUAUUAAUCCUAUGUAAAUUUUUUUAUAUUAAUCCUGCAUAAUAAUUAAUCUCAAUUAAAAAUAUAAAAAUCCUAUAUUUGUUUCAAAUUUUUAAAAAUUAUCCCCAACAACUUUUUAUUUUCAUGAAUGUUGUUUAUCUAUAAUUUUCAUGUUUAAAGGAUGGAAAUUCAACGUAUCUAUGAAAAUAAAUCUCGAUUAGCGUUAAUUUUUCACUAUUAUUCAUAUUUACUUAUUUAAUUUUUAUAAUUUUAAAAUUAAAUAAAUUAUGUAAAUAUUUCCAUAAAAUUUAAUUUUUGAUCAAAACAUAUAGAUAAGAAUAUUAUUUCUGAAAAUAAUAUUUAAAAAUAUGAUUUUAAGAAAUUAUUUCAUAACUUCGAAACAAACACUCCUAAUAUUUCUAAAAGCUAGACGUGUUUUUCAAUAUAAAAAAGAGGAAUUAAAUGGUUAUUAAUUGAAUAAAAUAUAACUGGAUAAAAUUUUAAAAUGAACUUCAUUUCAUAAUACCCGAUCCAUUGAGACCAUUAUUGUAUUAUGGUUGAUAAGUGGAAAAAAAUUAAGUAUGUGUGUAAUAAUUUUAUUUCGAUUUAGUUAUUAAUAUAAAUUAUUUUUAUUCACUGUUAAAAAUAUUAUUAACUUAGUGUGAAUAUUUACGAGAAUAAGUUUUUUUUCCUUCAUUUGGAAGGGUAAAAUGAUUGAUUAGUAAUUUCUUUAAAACUUUAGAAAUUUUCUUAAAAAAAGGUUGGGGGCAGGCUGCUUUCUACCUCCUCUGUUUUUCUAAUUCACCGGAGUCCAUUAGUUGGAGCUUCUUAAGCAGCACUCCCACUUACAAAUAUUUUACUAUUCACACCCCUUGUGUAGUUAAAAAUCCUAGUACUUUUUUAUUAGAAAAUUGUUCAUAAUUUAGGAAAGAUAGGGUACUAUAGCACAUGUCUCCAUAGCUGUAAAUUGAAAAAAUAUUUGUACUCGAAUACAUACCCGUAUGAACGCUAACGUUUGUAUCUUGUGUUGUGUUUUUAUUUUUUGUGGUUUGUUGAUUGUCUUUCUCUUAUUUGUUUUUUUUUGUGUCUGGUUUUAGUGCACCUCUAGUGCGAUUGUUUGCAUCUUUUAUUUUUUUUCUAAUAUAUUUUCUAUGUUUUGCCAUUAAAAAAAUUAUCAUGUUAUUUUAAGGUUUUUACAACAUUUUACAAAUACAUUCAAGGAUGUUAUUGUUCGCUUGAGAAAUAAACAAACACUUAUAUUAAAAUACAUACAAAUUUAAUAGUGGUGUAUUUAAUAAAAUUGAUAAGUACACAUGUGUCUAUUAUUAAUAAAAAAAAUAUUGCGCGAGUAUGGGGCGGGGUGGAUACUAAGGUGGGUACCCGUGCACAUACCCGCUUAUUUUAGUGGAUAAUUGCAUGUGCACAUGCUUGUACCCAUUUUGCGGGUUUUUACUAUAUCCACUGUGAGUAAUUUUUGCGGGUACCCGCUAGGGAUGGGUCAAAUUGACACUAUAUUAGGACGUCAUAUCACUCUUGAUAAAUGUUCUGUUGCGGAACCAGAAAUGAUGAUGAUAGUGAAAACUACGACGAAAUGGGGCUCUCGAUGCACUACGUUGAUGCGACACCAUGAAUUGAAGGUUGUGAUCAUAGUGUUUCUUGAACCAACGAUAUCGAGGUUGGUGUGAUGUCGUUAACAAUGUUUUUAUCUCCGAUAUGGUGGAUCUUAGGAGGGUACCUGCAUGGUUAGCACUCCAACACACAAGUCAGUUUAUGGUUCCAGAUAAAUGGUAGUGAAAGUGAGAUUAGAGAUUGUGUCCCUUAUAAUCCUUUACGAAGGUAUUUAUACCUUGGGCCUGGCAGAGUAGGCUAGGUAAUGUGCCUCGUGCUAUUAGGGCUCUGACCGACGCAAAGUAGUUGGUCAUGGGUAUUUGUUGGUUCUUGGUAUAAAAAUCAUGUAUUUGUUGGUCAAUUUUAAUGAACAAAUGGUUAAGUCUUAUUCUAGCGGUUAAAAGUUACUUGUAUGCUCGUGUGCGAGAGGCUUAAGUGUCUAUUUAUAUCGCAGUAGAACAAAUAAAACAUUGUUCGUUUGUGAAAAGGUUUUGACAUUACACUAAGGUGGAAAAGAGGUUAAUUUGUUGAGAUUGUUUUUAGCCGGACGAUGAAUACUCGAGCAGUGAAGCGUACGCCAACCAUUCAUUUAUUCGAGAAGUAGAAAGGUGUGAACCCCCUAUUCCCUUUUCGUCCAAGUUUGGAAUUUUGAAAAUUUGAAAUUUAUUGGAGGGAGAAGAAUAUUUGCAGUAGCGAGGCGUGCGCCUCCCACGCGUGCACCCUCAUUCCCUUUUCGUCCAAGUUUGAUUAAAGUAUUUUAUUAGAAAGACGAAAGUUCGAGCAAUAUGGCAUGCGCCAACCACACACUUAUUCGAGGAGUAGAAGGAUGUGCAUUCCCCAUUCCCUUUUUAACAGGUUGUAUUGAGAAAAAUAUUUUAAAACGAUUAAGUUAAAAAAGAACUUGAUGUUGAUCAAGUGCUUGGUUCACGUUUGUUUUGAAAUUCAUUUUGAAGAUCAGCUUGAUGUUGAUCAAGCGUUUGAUUGACGUUUCAUGAAAUUGACUUGAAUUAAUUAUGAAGAGAUGAGAUUUUAUUUUUGAAAACCCCUUGAUGUUGAUCAAGGGUUUUAAAUUAGAAAAGUUGAUUCUUAUUAUUUUAUUAUUAGAAAAGCUGAUUAAUCAAAACAAAUGAGAGUAGUGUGUGAAAUAUAAAGUGUGUGGUAAGAUAAAGAAAAAAAAAGAGUGGGCUAGGCCAAACAUAAAAAGAAAGCAUAACAUGCAAUAAAAAAGAAAGCAAAUACAGGUGUAGAUAGCUAAAGAGACGAGCCCAAAUGGUUGAGGGGCCAAAGUUGCCAAAAACAACAAACAAGAGGCAUAGGGUGUAUAAAGGAAAUAAAAGGUGAAUUCAGUAAAGCGGGUUAGGCCCAUGACCCAAACCCAACCAAACCCUAGGUAUAAUAACCCAAAAACCUGACCUCUCCCUCAUUUUUUCAUAUAUUUUCUCUCUCUUCUCCCUUAGAACUCUCCUUCGCUCCCUCUGUACCCUUUCCUCCUCUUUCUUAUUCUUCCCUUUACUCACUACUGUAAAAUUCAAGUUAUAAUUUCCUUUUCUUAUUACCGUUGUAUAAACUCUUUGUAACAAAUUUAAAUAUUAAUGAAAUAUGAAAUUCAAAAGUUUGGUUCAUUUUGUUAAUUGAUUUCCAUAUGCUCAUUUUGCCGAUUCUCUUUUUUUGGUGCCAUACGCUGACCAUUGGUGAGAUAGGAAUGAAAUGGUGAUUCAAUCCCUAACUUAUUCACUUUUUGCAAACUAUUUUGGUUAAUUUUGCUUUUUGUCAAUUUUGAAAUACCAAUUCAAAUUAAAAACCUCAUAUUAUAACCUAUAAGUGGCUUACUUACCUUUGUUGAUUUUGAAUUAAACAAAUGAUAUGAGAUGAUGCGAUCAUGAAACUCAAAGUUAAAUACCUCAACAACUUGCCUUGGGUUAUUGUUGUUUUAAGAAAAUGAACCAAAGUGAUAUUCAAAGGGGCAUUUUGUAUUUGAAAUUAAAUAGCAAAAUCAAAGAUGGUGAUGAAUGUAUAAUGUGGAAAGUGGCAUGCACAAACUUGUGGCAUAAAAUGUACCUACUUAAAAAGAAACAGAAGGCAAAGUUCUAAGCUUUGUGUCCUUGAGCCACUCAAAUGGUAAAUGAACAUCACAUUAUGUCAUAUAUAUAUAUAUAUAUAUAUAUAUAUAUAUAUAUAUAUAUAUAUAUAUAUAUAUAUAUAUAUAUAUAUAUAUAUAAUNNNNNNNNNNNNNNNNNNNNNNNNNNNNNNNNNNNNNNNNNNNNNNNNNNNNNNNNNNNNNNNNNNNNNNNNNNNNNNNNNNNNNNNNNNNNNNNNNNNNNNNNNNNNNNNNNNNNNNNNNNNNNNNNNNNNNNNNNNNNNNNNNNNNNNNNNNNNNNNNNNNNNNNNNNNNNNNNNNNNNNNNNNNNNNNNNNNNNNNNNNNNNNNNNNNNNNNNNNNNNNNNNNNNNNNNNNNNNNNNNNNNNNNNNNNNNNNNNNNNNNNNNNNNNNNNNNNNNNNNNNNNNNNNNNNNNNNNNNNNNNNNNNNNNNNNNNNNNNNNNNNNNNNNNNNNNNNNNNNNNNNNNNNNNNNNNNNNNNNNNNNNNNNNNNNNNNNNNNNNNNNNNNNNNNNNNNNNNNNNNNNNNNNNNNNNNNNNNNNNNNNNNNNNNNNNNNNNNNNNNNNNNNNNNNNNNNAUAUAUAUAUAUAUAUAUAUAUAUAUAUAUAUAUAUAUAUAUAUAUAUAUAUAUAUAUAUAUAUAUAUAUAUAUAUAUAUAUAUAUAUAUAUAUAUAUAUAUAUAUAUAUAUAUAUAUAUAUAUAUAUAUAUAUAUAUAUACUAAAUUCUCAUUUUCACUUUGUUGGCUUGACUUUGACCAAGUUCCUUAUUUGACACAACGAUGAAUGAUAUGAAAUGGAAUAAUAAUAGGUUAAUGCUAACAUGUGCCCCAAAGGCACAAGUUAAUGAUACAUUUAUAGAAAUAUUCUCUUGAAAUGCGUGCAUUUAAUUUCUUGAAACUUAAAAUUUUGUUUCUUUCCACACAAAAUUUAUAAUAGUAGUAACCUUAACUUGUGCCCCAAGGGCAUAAGUUAGCAAGACCCAUAAUAAUAGCCUUUGAUAUCAAAGGUUGACUUUUACUUUAUUCAUUAUGAAUGUCAUGCAUGAAAGACCAUAAAAUUGCAUAAAGAUGUGAUGAAAUGAUGCAUGAAGAAGUAAAUGAAUUCAGGACAUAAUAACCUCUUAUGUGAGUAUCAGAUGUAAGUUGAAUUCCUAUAGUGAGAUGAUAGGAAAUGGGGAGGGACAAAAUUGAGUUAAGACAGUUGCCCCAAUUUAAUUACCUUGAAUCCGGGAGUAUGAAUAACAAUGAUCUUCAUAUUUAUAGGGUGAAAGAUAAUUAAAUACAAAAAUAUCCAAAUUUUAUCUUUCAAAAAUAUAAUGUGAUGAGAUGAAUAAAUGUAUGAAGGGUCAACCUUACCGGGGGUAUGAAGGGUUUGCCUCCAAUGACAACUUUGGAAAUAAACAAAGUCGAAAUUUUUUAUGACAAUUAACAGAGAAAACUUCCCAACUAACAACAUCAAAAGAUUUUCUAAGACUUAACAGAGAAAAUUUUCAAACAUCGAAAGAUUCUUUGAGACUUAACAAAGAAAACUUUCAACUUAACAAAAAUAGAAAUAUACUCUGAGACUUAACAGAAAAACUUCUAACAUCGAAAGAUUCUUUGAGACUUAACAAAGAAAACUUUCAAACAUCAAAAGUUUCUUUGAGACUUAAUAAAGAAAACUUCUAACUUAACAAAAAUCGAAAUAUUCUCCGAGACUUAACAAAGAAAACUUCCAACUAACAACAUUAAAAUAUUCUCUAAUACUUAACAAAGAAAACUUUCAAAAAUCAAAAGAGUCUUUGAAACUUAACAAGAAAACUUCCAACUUAACAAAAAUCUAAAGAUUCUCUGAGACUCAACAAAUAAAACUUCCAAUAUCGAAAGAUUCUUUGAGACUUAACAAAGAAAACUUUCAAACGUCGAAAAAUUAUUUGAGAUUUGAUAAAGAAAACUUUCAACUUAGCAAAAAUCAAAAUAUUUUCUUAGACUUAACAAAGAAAAUUUUCAACUAACAACAUCGAAAGAUUCUUUGAGAUUUAAUAGAGAAAACUUUCAAACAUCGAAAGAUUCUUUGAGAUUUAACAAAGAAAAAUACCAACUUAACAAAAAUCAAAAGGUUCUCUGACACUUAACAGAGAAAAUUUUCAAAAUUAAAAGAUUCUGUGAGACUUAACAAAGAAAACUUCAAACUUAACAAAAAUCAAAAGAUUCUCUAAGACUUAACAGAGAAAACUUUCAAAAAUCAAAAGAUUCUCUAAGACUUAACAGAGAAAACUUUCAAACAUCAAAAGAUUCUUUGAGAGUAUUCAAAGAAAACUUCCAACUAAAAAAAAUCAAAAGAUUCUCUGGGACUUAACAAAGAAAACUUUCAACUAACAAACAUCGAAAGAUUAUCUAAGACUUAACAGAGAUAACUUUCAAAUAUCAAAAGAUUAUUUGAGACUUAACAAAGAAAACUUUCAACUAACAAUCAUUGAAAGAUUCUCUAAGGAUUAACAGAGAAAAUAAUCAACUAACAAACAUCAAAAGAUUCUCUGAGACUUAACAUAGAAAAAUUUCAACUAACAAUUAUUGAAAGAUUCCAUGAGACUUAACAGAGAAAACUUUCAAACAUCAAAAGAUUCUUUGAGAUUUAACAAAUAAAACUUCCAAAUAAUAAACAUUGAAAGAUUCUAUGAGGAUUAACAGAGAAAAUUUUCAACUAACAAUCAUUGAAAGAUUCUAUGAGGAUUAACAGAGAAAAAUUUCAACUAACAAUCAUUGAAAGAUUCUAUGAGGAUUAAAAGAGAAAAUUUUCAACUAAAAAAACAACAACUGGGGGAUCUUCUGAGAUUAAGAGAGAAGACUCUCAACAAAAAUAAAUGAAUAACAAAUGGGAGAUUCUAUGAGAGUUAACAGAGAAAAACCUUCAAAUAAGAAACACAAAUAACAAUUGGGAGAUCCUCCAAGAAUUAACAAAGAAAAUGCUCCAUAAAAUAAUAAUAACAGGUAGAUUCUCUGAGAAUUAACAGAGAAAACUCUCCACAAAAGAUAAUUGAUGCUCUAUGAGCAUUAACAAAGAAGACGCUCAUCAAAAUAACAACAACCGAGAGAUCCUCUAAGAAUUAAUAAAGAAAACUAUCCAUAUAAUAUAAUUGAGGUUCUCUAAGACUUAAUAGAGAAAACUCUUAAAGGAUCAAUAAAGGAGGAGCACGAGAGUGAGGAAUCUGAGGUUAGUGAGCUUUGUGUCAGAAGCCCUUAAUUGUUUAAAGAACAUUAUAAACUUCCUGAGGUAACGAAGGAAUCGCUUACAGACGAUGUAUUCAAAGAGUGGAAAUAACAUGUCAAGUGAUAAUAUAGCGGCGAAGAGUCCCAGCAUUAUGCAGCUUCAGAUGACACUGAAAUUGGCAAGAUGACUGAGUUUUUGCAAUAGGUUUUGCUUAAAACCAAACACAAAAAAACCAAAUCAAAACUCAUUGAAAUUCAAAACCAAAUUCAUAUCAAAUUAACACAACAAAUUAAAAUCACUUCAACUAACUACCCUAGUUUCCCUAGUCAUAACUAACCUUUAACCAUCAAAAUAAACUUCCAACCAACUUCCAAUUAGAAACUAAAUUCAUCCCAAAUUCACUUCAAAGUAAAUUUUAACAAACACAUUUCCAAUUAAUUUUUCUCCUUGAACUAACAAAACCCCAAAUGAAUUGAAAUCCAAUCCCAACCACUCUUAAACCGCUCACGAGGAUCACAAUCCAAGGGCCAUAAUUCACUCAACCCUAACUAACUUUCCCUCUAUUCAUCACCAUAAACUCACUAUGAUGAAUUUCAUCCUCACCAUCACUUACAACCCUCACCUAAAGCUCUCUCCAUUAUUAUGCAGAGCUUCACAUUGAAGCUCUGAUGUAGUAGAGCUAAACCUCAACCAUUACUGAAAUUUCAACCAUUACCGCCUCUCUACACUCAUAUAUUUAGAGCAUCAAUCAACAACAACAUUUAGAAAUCACCAAACAAAGAGGAAAGGCAGAAGAAGAAAGGAAACAAGGAAUAAUAGCUUAAAGAUUAUCACUCUGGGUUUCUUACUCUCUUCGCUUGAGAAAACAUAUAACAACAACCGGAGGACACCUCCCCUUUGUUAGUAGGUCAUAUUUCCUUCAAUCUUUUCGCAUUUUUCUUGUUACCAAUAUGAUAUUUGUGCCAUGAUGAUCGAUAACCAUAUGCUAAUUGCUUGAAUUAAUGAACGAUUGACAUUUAAUUUAAAUUUGAAUAUUUAGGGUCCUUGCAUAAAACUGUAAAAUAGAUUGUUUUGGGGUUUGGAGUUUGAGAAUUUAGAGAGUAUAUCUGAGUCGAUGAGAGAAAACCAACCAUGGUGGUAUGGUGUUUUCAUGAUUCUGGCCAUCCUUGUCAAAACCCGUAGCGGCGGCCGAUAAUAUUAAAGAGAUGGGGAAGACGAUGAAAGAAGGAAGAGUAAAAUUAUACGCUUUUGUCUUCUUUCUCUUUUAUUACUUUUUUUUCUUACUUAUUAAAUUCAUCAGUAUUAAUAAUAUUGUUUUGGUUAAUUGAAUUUUUUAAUUAAAUAUAAUUAAUUUGGUUAUUGGACUACGCUAAUUUGAUUAAUUGGGUUAUUUGACUACAUAUUUUUUUUUAAAAUAUUCUUGAUAAUCAAUUUUUAAUUUGAAUAUUUAAUUAAUUUUAAUUAAUUAAUUAUAUGGUAAUUCAUUUGAUUGUGUGGUUAAUGAUUCUCAAAUUUUAUUAAUUUGCAAAUCUCUUUAUUUGUCAUAUUAUUCCCCAUUUUGAAAAAUGUAUCCCCAAUCCUCGAGUUUUAUUGUUUGGUUAUUUUUAUCGCUUUCCUUUUGGUUAUUUUGUUAUCUUGGUUAAUUACUAACUUAAGAUUAAAAUCGACCAUUCUUUCAAAAGAAUAAAACGCUUGAUCCAACGACUUAUUUUCCCUUUUUCAAAAUCUUUUGACAAUAAAAAUGGAACGAAAAAGGAUUGAGUGGGUGUAGGACUUCUCUUUCCCUGAUUAUUUGAACACUGAUGUAGAGCUCUAUGUUCAAAGCCCCGUCUUCCAUAUUAAAACACAAUAAUUAAUUAAUUAAGUUGGUUCUUACAUAGAAGGAAAAGGAUUGAGUGGGUGUAGGCACUCACUCUCUCCGAUUAUUUGGACACUGCUGUAGAGCUCCCUGUGCGAAUUAUCGUCUUAUAUUAACAAACCUAGACUUAAUUCGCCACACUUUUUCAUAAUAAUUUAGAAGAAAAAAGAUUAGUUGGGUGUCGACAUUCUCCUUCCCCAAAUGGUUUUUAAUUAAUGUGUUCGCCAAGAUUUCAAAAUAUUAUGCCUACGUAUUCUCAUGGUACAAUGAGAAAAUCAAAGAUUGGUAGUUCGUGGUAGAAAAUGAGUGUUCGAAAUCUUGGCGAGCACAUUAAUUAAAACUUGUUUUUCCCUUAAUUGAAACUUUAUAAAAUCAUAUAAUAUAUCAGUAAUCGCAAUUAACUUUUAAUUAACACCCAUAUAUGCAAAACAAUCAAAACGUUUUCCAUUGAGUACAACAGAUGUAAGGGGUGCUAAUACCUUUCCCUUGCAUAACCGACUCCCGAAUCCGCUCUUGGUUGCGAAGAUCAUUCCAUUUCUUUUUUCAUCAUGAGAUUUUAUCGAUAUUUCCCCUUUCCUUUGGAAUAAAUAAAGCUUUUUCGGUGGUGAUUUUAUUUUUAUUUUGAGUGUUCCUCGUGCUCGGGUAUUUUUUGCGGUGCCACAACUGACGACUUUGCUAGGCAAAUCCUAAGCAAGUCAAGCCCAGUUUUGGUUAUCUUCUUUGUGUGUUUGGGUGUUUAUCUUUAUUGCUUUAAUAUUUACUCGCUCUAUUUUAUUGCAUUUACCGCUUUAUAUGUUUGAUAUAUUAUGGAUAUAUUUGUUUAUUAGUCCUCAAUUGUGGGUUGGGUUUCAUGAUGCUAUUUAAGAGAAAAACUUAUUACCCGAGCUUGAGUAUACAGAUAGGAUAGAAUCAUGGAUAGUCAUGUUGACCUACUAGACGUAGGACCCGUUGGGUUAACACGAGACCCACAUCUAGACUAGAUUCACUUGGAAGUACUAUUGUCCUACAAGCAUUUGCUAAGACAAUGUAUUUUCAUUUGGAUCCUUGACUCUAUGAGGCCUUUUUAGGAAUAUCCUUUUUUGAAGAUUAGAACCUACAUGUGAGGGGGAUUAUGGGUUGCAGUAAACCUAAAACUCUACCUACCUUGAUAGUCAUGUUCAGAUUAUCUAGAAUACGCCGAACCUUUGAACCCAUUAUAUUGCAUAUCAUUGCAUCAUAUCAUCAUAAAAAACGGAUAUAACAUAUGCAUAACUGACUCCCAAAUGCUCUCUUGGUUGCGACGACCAUUUCUUUUCCUUUUUCACCGUGGGGUUUUAUCAAUAUUUUCCCUUUCCUUUGGAAUAAAUAAAGUUCAGUGACGACUCUGUCUUUAUUUUGAGUGUUCCCCGUGUUCGGGUAUUUUUUGUGGUGCGAUAGCUGGCGACUAUGUUGGGGAACAUAUUUUACUGGAAAAGAUCCACCCAGAAAACCUGUGGGAAUCACAACUUACUUGAAAGUAUUUAAGGAUUUUAAUGUGGAAUUCAACUGGAUUUUCAAUCAUCAAAUAUGGCUUAUGCUAUGUGUACAUGUUUGUAGGUUACCGUGAUGUAUGAAAUGCCUUUUUGGUUACUUAGUGAGGUAUACCAUGUUUGGGCAAGGUAUGCAUGAAACGAUGCAUUUAAUGAAUAGUCAAUGCUUAUGAUUCUGAUGGGUACCAAAAAGGUUGGUUUUUGAAGUGCCAAUCAGUGUUGAACUUUAAGAUAUUCCAAGAAAGAUUGACGUUUGUAGAUGUAGAUGAAUCAACCUAUGAGGUAUACUAGGAUAUGUAGUGAUUUUUAGUGUUUGGCAGGGUAAUGAACUUCGAUUUCCCGAAAUUCGAGAACUAGACAAACUAGAAAGUUGUAUGAUGAUUAGGAAGACAUGGAAUUGUUGUUCUCCAUUUGGAAUUUCAUGUUGAUUAUUUUCGUAAGAUUAUGAUAGAUUAUGACCCGACCAGAUCGUGAUGACCCUUUUAAAUGCUUUUUGUAUGGUAGAUAUAUUAUUGUAAGUUAAUGAUCUUUCUUCAAUCUUUCCAAACAUCAAAGUGAUUUAAAUUUUUCUUGAUGCUUUUUGUCAUUAUACUCAAUAUUUUAAUCCAUUAUUUAUCAAAAACAACCAACAUUUUGUAAACAGAAGGCAAAUUGAAAUGAUAGAGAAAACCUCAAAAGAGGGAUAUUUUAUUCGAUGUGAAAGAUGACUCGUACAUAAGAUGUAAGUACACAUGGAUGCAAGAUUAUAAAAAAGGAAAUUAUAAAAUGAAAAUAAAGUAAGAUGGAACAUGGGAAAUUAUACGAGUUUCCAUUAAACUACAACACGUGCCACUUUCCCGUAGGACCUUGAGUCUCAAUACUUUGCUUCAGAAGAUGGUGAUUGAAUUGAUUCCUCCAUAUGAAAUCUAAUUAUGGUGAUGCAGGCUCGAGUGCUACAUUUAAAUUCCUUUAUUAAAAUCCCUAAUUUGCAUGGACUUUUAUUGUAUAUAUUUUUUUGUCUAUCGGGAUGCCCAUUUUUGCCUAAAUCGCCCUUUCAGGUUUUCAAUUUAGCGGGCUUUUCAUUUGUUUUUAGUUUUAUCCCUAAUUUUUGCAUGGAUGCCUAUUCUUUUAGUUCACUAGGACACCCAUUUUUUCCUAAGUUGACCCAACGAGUUAUAUUUUUAUUUCUUUUUAGGCAUAAUAUUUUUUGACUACAUCGGAGUUCACGAGAAUUGGAAACUCCUCUGCAUCCAUAGUAGUUAGAAUCAAGGCUCCACCUGAGAAGGCCUUUUUCACGAUAAAUGGUCCAUCUAAGUUUUGAGACCACUUGCCUCAUGAAUCCAUAUGUAUUAGCAAGAUCUUCUUUAUCACUAGGUCGCCUUCUUGGAACUCGCGAGGACGAACCCUAUUGUCGAACGCUUUCUUGAGCCGCUUUUGGUACAAUUUACCGUGGCAAAAGGAUGUCAGGCAAUUUUCUUCUAUGAGAGCUGGUCGAACUUGGUCUGGACGCAUUCUGUCUCAUUAAGUUUAGCUUCCAUAAUGACUCUCAUUGAAGGGAUAGACUAAUGAGAACAUAGUUGCACUUGUAGAGGUGUGCACCGAAGUUCUGUAGCCGUGUAAUGUGAAAGGGAUCAUUUCAUGCCAAUCUUUGUACGUUUUUACCAUUUUCUGAACAAUCUUUUUUAUUUUCUUAUUAUCCACUUCUAUAACACCGUUCAUCAUAGGCCAAUAAGGUGAAGAGUUAUGAUGCUCGAUUUUGAAGUCUUUGCAAAACUCCUUCAUUGUUUUGUUGUUUAAGUUGUUGGCAUUAUCUGUAAUAAUCUUAUUGGAAACCCCAUAACGACAAAUUAUUUCUUUCUUUAUAUAUCGAGCAACCACCUUUCUAGUGACAUUAGCAUAUGAGGAUGCUUCUGAUGCGUAAUUUUCGCAAGUAUACGAACGCGUCAGAGUAAUAUAAAAGAUUGUCGAAUCCACAGAGACCAAGUGUCAAUCUAUCAUUAUCUAUUGUUAUGGUGUUUAUCUAAGGUAAUCAAAAUAGGGGUUUUUAGAGUAUGUAGUGAAGAGUAAAGUAUUAAAUUAAAUUCAAUUAAUAAAGACAGGCUCGAAUGUAAUUCACACAAUCAAUUAAUAAUCCAAGUACUUGCUAAUAGAACUACUUAUGGGCAGUGUUUCCUACUUUGAGAAGAACCAAUUUAACAGGAACUGUCGCUUUUGCGUAUUCAGAACCGAGUUGUACUCCCUAAUCAAACCCUCUUAUUGUCACUUAUAAAAAGGCGCGCAUUGCGUUAGAGUAGUAAACCUAUUUUUAAUACCUAUUUUUAAGAAAUAUAGUAUCUUGACUAAGUUGAAAAGUAUUUUAACCUGGAUUUCUUAACCAAAAGAGGUUCUCACGAACCAGACUCUAAACUUAUAAACGCGUCCGAAAAUAGUUUUAAAAAUCACUUUUCUUCUUAAGUUAAAAACUCCUAAUGAACUAAACAAAGCGCUUUCGCUGUAUUUGAAAUAGUUAAAAACAACUAAGUUUAAAAAGACGUUGGACGACUUUCGAUCUUACCCAACAGAAAUUAAGUGCAGGAAAACUUAAGUUGAAAGUCAAAAUAGCCCUUAAGUGUUUCUACGAACAAUUGUAUGGAUUAUCGGUUCAAUUACGGUCCUUACAUUAUAACCUUUAUAGAUUUAGUUAGACAUGGUAAAGUAAAGGUGCAUUUUAACUUAAAUAAAAGUAGUGCGAGUGCGUAAAUUUAAAUAAAAGUAGUGCGAGUGCGAAAAGCAAAUAAAAGUAGUGCGAGUGCGUAAAAUAAAUGAAAGUAGUGCGAGUGCGGGAAAUAAAUGAAAGUAGUGCGAGUGCGGGAAAUAAAUAAAGUAAAGGAAGUGCGGGAAAUAAAUAAAGUAAAGAUAGUGCGGGAAAUAAAUAAAGUAAAGACAGUGCGGGAAAAUAAAUAAAGUAAAGACAGUGCGGGAAAAUAAAAUAGAUAAAGGCAAAGUAAUAAAAACCUGCUCCAAUCGGAGGGUUGAAUAAAAUGCGAAGCGGAAAUGAAAAUGACGGCAGGAUUAACUUCCUUCCAAAGUGCUCCAAACUCGAUUACAGACUCGAUCACAGACUUGAUUACACAAUUGUGGUAACACCCCAAUGCGAAGCGAUUACCACUUUUAAAAUACUGAAUAUAUACCUAAGUGAAACUAAGUUUGCUCUAAGUUUGGAUCUGCUCUAAGUUUGGAUGAUUAAACAAAUGAAAACGAGUAUGUAUUUAUAGGCAAGGAAAAUAAUGGAAAUGACAAGGAUGCCCUUCAGUUUGAAAUUGGGAGGGAAAGGUUUUCUUCUUGUGGCGCCCGCAACAACCCUAUGGCGCGCUCCACAAGGGCAAAUUGUGGCGCCCAAGUGGAGAUAGUGGGGAACGUGGCAGUUGAGGGAAGUUGAGCUGUGACACGUCAUGGCUGGACAUAUGGCGCCAGCCACAAGUGCAAAAUGCUGAAUUUUAGUCUUUUUAGCUCAUUUUCACUCAUUUUCUCGAUCGGGGCUCUGAUUAGACUGAAAACCUGAAAACAAAGAGAAACAUAGUAAUAACAUAACAAAAUAACAAUAAAACCACUAAAAUGCAAAGGAAAUCGGAGUCGAAAAUACGGUGAAAUUCAGUGUCAUCAGCUUCCAUCCAUUUAGUAAAGUAAUCUUUUACAACUAGGAUAAAGCAAUGACCGUUUGAAGUUUGUGGCUCAAUGAAUCCUAUCAUGUCUAUUCCCCACAUGGACAAAGGCCAUGGUGAUGUCAGAAUGUACAAAGGGGUUGGUGGCACAUGUGUCUUGGCAGCAUAAAUUUGGUAUAUAUGGCAUUUUUGACGUAAUUGAAAUAAUCAGAAUCCCUGGUCAACCACUAAUAGCCAACUCGCAGGAUUUUCUUAGCCAUGGCAUGCCCAUUGACAUGUGUCGCGAAAGUUCCUUCAUGAAUUUCACUUAUGAUUAGGUAUGCCUCGUGUCUAUCCACACAUCUGAGCAAAACCAUAUUGUAGCUUCUUUUUUAGAGUACAUCAGCGUUGAGAAAAAAACUUGGUAGCCAGUUUUCAUAAAGUUUUUCGACCCUUGUUGGAUGCCCCUGCCGGAUACUCUCGUGUCUGAAGGAAGUAUUUAAUGUCAUGGAACUAGGGUUUUCCAUCUGGUUUGGUAUGCAUUGAUGAGUAGAAUGCGGGCUUGUUAAAGUGAUUGAUUGUUAUGGACAAACCUUUAUUAGCCUAAGGAACCUUGUACAUGGAUGAUAACGUAGCCAAGACGUCAUCUAGUUGAUUCUCUUCUCUGGGAAUGUGAUGGAAGGUGAUUUACUCAAAAUGAGUCAUCAAUUGCAAACCAUGAGUACGAUACGUGAUCAAUUUGGGAUGACAAGUUUCCCAUUGCUCUAAGUUUGGAUCUGCUCUAAGUUUGGAUGAUUAAAUAAAUGAAAACGAGUCUGUAUUUAUAGGCAAGGAAAAUAAUGGAAAUGAUAAGGAUGCCCUUCAGUUUGAAAUUGGGAGGGAAAAGUUUUCUUGUUGUGGCGCCUUUAUAGGCAAGGAAAAUAAUGGAAAUGAUAAGGAUGCCCUUCAGUUUGAAAUUGGGAGGGAAAAGUUUUCUUGUUGUGGCGCCCGCCACAAGGGCAAAUUGUGGCGCCCAAGUGGAGAUAGUGGGGAACGUGGCAGUUGAGGGAAGUUGAGCUAUGACACGUCAUGGGUGGACCUAUGGCGCCAGCCACAGUGGGAGCCACAAGUGCAAAAUGCUGAAUUUUAGUCUUUUUAGCUCAUUUUCACUCCUUUUCUCGAAUGGGGCUCUGAUUAGACUGAAAACCUGAAAACAAAGAGAAACAUAGUAAUAACAUAACAAAAUAACAAUAAAACCACUAAAAUGCAUGCGAAAUCGGAGUCGAAAAUACGGUGAAAUUCAGUGUCAUCAAAUUCUCCCACACUUAAACCCUUGCUUGUCCUCAAGUAAAACACUUAAAAAGUUCAUAGAAGAAAAACUGGUGUCAACAAGUGCUUCGGGCUAAAAAGGUUUCUAAGUUCAAGUCGGGAUGCAGUGAUAGGUACUAACUGAGUGAACUAAGGGUAUCAUGAUGACACUUAUCCGCAAAUACGGACAUAAACUCCAUUCCUAUAUUAACCAACCCAUAUUAUCCCAUCAAUACUAGGCCUGCCUCUUCAUCUCUUUUGUGUCCUUUUCAUUCAGGUGCAAUCACAUUAAGCCCGUUAUCCGUACAUGCUUCAUAGCAGAGUGACCUGUUAGUGAUUAUGAUCAACAUGGGGUUCCUGGCACAUAAGUUUGUGUAAAACCCUUUUAUUUGACCCAACUGCAGUUGUGGGGAAUCGGAUCGUAAUCCGCCCUACCGAGUUCAGCGCCAGAUACUCUCUGAACCAACUAACAGCGGGUGAGUUUUCUUUUUCUUUUUCUUUUGUAGCAGAUUUUUUUACAACCUUUUUGGUUUAAAUGACUUUGUGAGGGUCACCUAUACCGGAGUUGCCUUUUUGCUUUCUUUUAUUUUAUUUAUUUCACUGGAUCAUUCACUUAUGUUCAUCGGUCCCCUACGUAGAGGCUGCUUUGGCCGGAGCUGAUUGCUGGAAUAAACUACUGAGGACUUAUACUGAAAUGAUGAUUAAGGCUACGGUAUAUGGGGUUUCGGGAGUGAUUCCUUUAUUCAUGAAGUCUAUGGUGCUAAAACAAUACUGAUGUUUCAAAAAGUUUUCCCAAGUCACCGCAUCCUUACUUAAACCCGUCUUUAAAACCCAAAAACUUUUAGAAUAACACCGUUUUCUUUUGCAAAUUUUUUUUUGGUAGGGCUAAAGGAAUGGGGAGAUUAGACUGUACUAAAGAUACACUAUACUGGUGACUCGUCAGACUCAUGCAUUAUCUAAAACACUCAAACUGAAAGCAAAAUGAAACGAAGUAAACAAAUAAAAAGCAAUAAAAAGAAACAAACUAACUAAAAACAACAAAGAAAAUUAGAAAGCGAUAAAAUCUCCUCCCAUACUUAAAUCGAACAUUAUCCCCAAUGUUUUGAAAUAAGAUAAGGGGAGAGUCACCUGACAACCUACUGCUGAUCACUGGUGCCUUCGCCAUCCUGAGGUGGACGACGAGAUCGGCUACGACGACAGUCUCCCUAAUCCAUCCUGGCCUGUAAGGCGUCCUGAGCAGUCCUCCCCUCUCGAAGGUUGCCUAAAAUGGAACCCUGAGUGGCUUCUAUCAGUGCAGUAUGUUGAUGGUGGUAGUGCUGCUGACGGGCUUGUUCGUUUGUGAUCGUAAGCAGGGACUGGACAACAGUCUCAUAGGAUCUAUCUGUCCUCCCCUGCGAUUCUUGCAUGAAGCUCAUGUUAUCCGCCAGUUGUUGCUGAAUGGUAGAGAGUAGGUCAUCACGCCUUUGCUCUUUAGCCAUGUGGUCAUGCCACAUCUCCUCUGUAAUAUAAAAGCCAGGGGCAGAACCUGCAAAAGAAGAAGAUGGUGCGGUGUGUGGUGGUGAAGGGUGAUGGGGGGACACAUGAGGUACGGGAGAUCGCUCUCUCCGAUCAUAUUCAUCAUCAGUGUGGUGUCCCUCAUCAUCAGGAACAUUAGGAGGAAGUGGACCCAAAAUAGGUGGAGCAUCUAAAACAUAGGUCCAAUUCCUUUCAUUACGUACAUCAAUACGUCUAGUGCAUGGUAAGACAACAGAUGGGAUAACUAUACCAUGAACCAUAAGUACAUAACCUCCUUCUCUCCUCAAUCGGCACAAUUUCAUGUCUCUCAGAAAUUUUAGGUUGAUUGUGCGAGGAGGUAAGAGAUCUAGUGUAGCUAUCUCAUUGUUCAGGUUAAGCGCCCGAGCAAUAGACGUAAUGAGUCCUCCGAAAACUAUAGGUCCCGCUUUAUUAAGAGUUAAAGCCAUAUGCGCGAGCAUAAACGGGACCAAAUUAAUCUUUCUAUUUAUGAGGCUUCCUUGCAAAAAUAGAAGCUCUCGAGCAUUGACCUUGUUUGGGUUCUCCUAGCCAAAAAUAGUACAUGCCAACAAAUAUCUAAAAACUCUGAUGGUCGGGUUAUGGAUGUUCGAGGCGAGAAUUCCUUCAAAAGAAUUUAUUAAAGUGUUUGACAAUCUCUGCCAAAAGGAAAACACCUCGACCGACCAAUCUGAAUCCAAAGGGGCCUCACAAAUAGCACCGUCCCCAUGAGGAAUACCUAAUAAGCCUGCUAUUUCGUCGGUACUGAAUUCAUACUCAACAACAAACAUUCUAAAUCAGACAGUACCAACUGUGCUAGCAGUGUUAGGAUUGACAAUAUAAAUUAAAGAACUUAAAAAUUCGAUUGUCAAUCGCUCAAAGGUAGGUUCUUUGUUUGAAAAGAUAGUAUGCAAGCCUAAAUUAUCCAAUAAAUAAAAAAUGCUAAGGUAGAUACCCAAAGUGUAAAGAUAAUUUUCAUCCACAUACCUUGUCAGGAGGAUUUCCCGAUUUUGCAACCUUUCGAUAAUCUUCCUCUGCAUAUCUCCCGGUUUCCCUUCACGAAGGAUAAAUCCAUUGAACUCCAUUAUUUAGCUCUUGCAAUGUGAUGAAGAAGAUGAAGAUGGGUUUGUAUAAAGGUGGGAUUUUUAUGAAAUUCGACGGAUGAAUUAUCUCCCGGUUUCCCUUCACGAAGGAUAAAUCCAUUGAACUCCAUUAUUUAGCUCUUGCAAUGUGAUGAAGAAGAUGAAGAUGGGUUUGUAUAAAGGUGGGAUUUUUAUGAAAUUCGACGGAUGAAAAUGAAAAUGGAAGUUGGGAAAAUGGUUUGUAUGGUGUGAAGAUGAGAAAUGUGGGAACUUUUGUGGGGUUCAAGGGCUUUUUCGGAAGGUGAGAAAAUGGGUUUUGGAGGUUUGAAGGUAUGAAAAUGGUGAAGAAUGUGAGUCUGCCCCGAGCUUAUACAGACGCUGUGGCGGGCGCCACAAGGCUAAAUUUGGUUGGGCCGGAUUUUGAUCAUUUGGCAUGGGCUUCUCGUUCUCUUUUUGGUUGGGGGGGUCCGGAUAGCGUUUGCAUUGUAUUUUUCUAGUGACAUAAGGCUUGCAUAAUUUUAUAAAAAUAAAAUUCACACAUUAGACUAAUAAAUAAAUAAAUAAUUAAUAUAAUUAAACUAUAAUAAAUAUAAUAAACAAACAUAAAACACACACACAUAUAUAUAUAUAAAUAAUAUAUAAAAAAUAAAUAUAUAUAUCAUAUAAAUAAAUAUUAAUAUAUUAUGUUCAGAAACACAAUGUGCUGACAUAGUAGAGAAAUAUCCAAUUGCAAUGAUAUAAAAUAAGUUAGGUAAAUGGCGAAAAAUAAUAAAGGAUAAAUGAAGACAAAAUAAAAUGAGAUGGUAAAAUCAAAUAGUAGGGGUUCGUCUGCCUGACUAGAUCCACGAAGCAUGGCUAUCUCCUGGCGAAGCUCGGCGAUCUCCUGGUAUAAACAAUCUAGCCUCGGUAGCGUGUGUGAGAUCGAAUACUCCCAUCUAAAAGGUGAGGUCAGCCCACCUCCUGCCUAAGCCCGACAAUCUCUCUACGACACUCUGCAAUCUGGGUGCGGAUGUCUGGUGUAACACCCGAUAAAAAAUAAGAUAAUUAUUUUAAUUUAAGUUAAUAUUAUAUUUAUUAAAUUUAAUUAAAUAAUUGGAAUUAUUGGAUAUUAUUAUUAUUAUUUAUUAUUAUUGGAAUAAUAAUUAUUGAAAAAUAUAUAUAAGUUGAAAAUAAGAAAAAAGAGUCCCAUUUGGUACAAAAAAAAGGGUUUCACGUGAAAAGCAGAGAAGCGGCUGAAAAGAGAAAAAGGGCAAAGAGACAAGAGCAAGAGGAAGAAGGUUGGAGAAGAGAAAAGCUUGAAGCUUAAGAAUUCACCGGAUUACUCAGGUAAGGGGGGUUUAUCGUCGUUUAAUGGGUAUUAAUGGGUUAACAUGUAAGGGUAGUGAUGAACAUUGAUUUGACCCUAAUUGGGAAUGUUGAUGCUGAAAAUUGUGAUGGAUAAGUUGUGUUAAAACUGAAAUUGAAUCUGUAAUUGGAUGGGGUAGUGAUUUUCCGAAAACGUAGCUUUUACGGAAUUGGAAUCGAGGUCCGGAAGUCCUCCAACGGCGGAAAAUGCGGAGAAUCUGCAUUCUGCUUUGUGUUAGCGCAGGAACAGCUUUCUGUCUUGCGUUAACCGGUUAACCCAGGGGUGUUAACCGGUUAACACUGUUGUGAAUUAUGAAAUAUUGGCUGUUUUGCUUGCGUUAAACCGGUUAACCCAGGCCGUUAACCGGUUAACACUGUUAAGUUUUGCCAGGAAGCGUGUUUUUGGUCUGCGUUAACCGGUUAACCCAGGGCGUUAACCGUUUAACACUGUUGAAAAGUGGGAAAAAUUGGUAUUUAAAUGUUGUUGUGCAUAUUUGAUGGUUGGCCUAUAUCGGUGUGUGAUAUAGUAGGGAUCAUUUCCCGUUGUUUGAGUAGUAUAGGUAUUAGUAGAGGGUGCUAAUACUGUGAUUGACUUAUUUGACAUGACAUGAUAUGAUUAUGCGAUAAAUAUGCUGAUGAUGUGUGAAAAUAUGCAUAAUGUUUGUGAAUGUAUAUAUUAUGUAUGUAAUGUGGAUGGACUGUUUUUAAUGGCUUAGAGUGUGAGCAAAUGUCCAUUUGUGGAUUGUUGUUGAUGUUUGCAUGACUAAGUAUUUAGCUUGCAUAUUGUGGCCUUUAUGGUGGAGCUAAUUCCCAUGGUGAGGAAAUUAGUGAGUAAAUCAUUGUGGAUUGUUGUUGUAUUUUGCAUGCUAGGUGAUUAGCGUGCAUAGCAUACCCUUGGGGUGGUAGCUAAUUCCCAUGGUGAGGAUUAGUGAGUGAGUCCACUAGGUCUCAAUGAGUGGACUAGUGAGCUUGGUAGCCGUAUCUGGAUUUGAUCGGUGAGGUUGAACUAUAUGUUUCAUGAAUAGUUGUACCGCAUGCAUGGAGUCUCAUUGCAUAGUGUAUGUAUGGUUAUAAUUGAAUGGAUUUAUUCCAAUAUUAUACGUGUGUUUUUGUGUUGGUGUUGAGUAUGAAUUGAAAUUAUACGUGGCUUUAUGUUGUGUUCCAGUAAUGAAUGUCUUCGAGUUGAUGUGUGCUCGUUACUGAUGUGUGUUAUGAUUAGGGUGAUUUGAAAUGUGUUAAUUAUCUUAACAUUGUCAUGAUAUUUUUAUAAUGCCUUAUUAAUCGAAUUGAGGAACUCACACCUUACAACUAUUUUUCAGGUAAGAGCAGUGAUUGAGUAGGAGCUAGGUGCUUGAAGUUCUAAGUGUAGUUCUUAGUGGGUCAUGCUCUGGUAGAUGUAAACAUCGGAUGGGAUGAUUUUUAAAUGUUUUAUUGUUGGUUUGUGAAGGCCAGUUACAUGUAAUAUGCUUACAUGUUUUGUAUGAAUUGAUUUAAUCUCUAUCGCUGCGUAUUAUGCAAAUAUGCUUUAGUUUUGAAUUCAAUAAAAAGAGCAUGACAGUUAUCAUGGUGAAUGGUGUGAAGUAAUUGUGUGACACCCUUAAUUGCAUAUUUACUCUGAUUGAUAUAUGUUGUUAUUUUAAUUAAACUUUUGGGGUAUUUUAGAAGGGUGUUUCAUUAGUGGUAUCAGAGCAUAGUCGGUCGAGUCGAGUCGUAAUUAUUCUGUUUCCCUGUACGUGAUAGGUGUUGUGCAACCCUAUCAGUACUUAUUGUUUUAGCUUGUUGGGUUUUCAGACUAGAGAUGGCUGGAAGAGGUAGAGACGAUGCUGCGAUUGCUGAGGCGCUGGGUAUGCUAGCUGGAGUACUUGGAGGGAAUCCGAAUGUUGUGGGAAUGGGAGCUGCUCGUCAACUGAUUGAGUUCCAGAAGAACAAUCCUUCAAUGUUCAAGGGAGCAUACGAUCCAGAUGGUGCUCAGAAGUGGUUGAAGGAGAUCGAGAGAAUCUUCCGAGUGACUGAGUGUGCCGAUAACCAGAAGGUCAGGUUCGGUACGCAUAUGCUGUCAGAGGAAGCAGAUGAUUGGUGGGUUGCUGCCCGCACUGAGUUGGAAGCUGCUGGGAGUGCUGAGAUCACUUGGGCGGUGUUCAGAGAGAGAUUCCUGAGGAAGUACUUUCCAGAGGAUGUCAGAGGAAAGAAAGAGAUAGAGUUCUUAGAAUUGAAGCAGGGCAACCGGUCUGUUACUGAGUAUGCUGCUAAGUUCACAGAGCUGUCGAAGUAUUACACUCCCUAUGAUGAGGCUACUGGGGAAUUUUCAAAAUGUGUGAAGUUUGAGAACGGGUUACGUCCCGAGAUCAAGCAGGCUAUUGGGUAUCAGCGGAUUAGAGUGUUUUCUGACUUGGUUGACUGUUGCAGGAUUUUUGAACAGGAUACCAAGGCCAGAGCGGAGAGCUAUCAGCAGAGGGUUGAUAGGAAAGGCAAGAAUCAGAAUGAUCGUGGGAAACCGUAUGCAGCUGGCAAAGGUUUCCAGAGACAGAGUGGGAUGAAGAGACCUAGUGGGGGAGACUCCAGUGCCCCUGCUAAGUGUUACAGAUGUGGUCAGGCUGGACAUCGUAUCCAUGAGUGUACCAGUACUGAGAAGAAGUGUUUCAAGUGUGGCAAAGGUGGUCACUUGGCUGCAGAGUGCCGGUUGAAGACUAUGACUUGUUUCAACUGUGGAGAGGUGGGUCAUAUCAGUCCACAGUGUCCUAAGCCGAAGAAAGAGAACCAGUCGGGAGGCAAGGUCUUUGCUUUAUCGGGUUCUGAGACUUCUGCAGAUGAUCGUUUGAUCCGAGGUACGUGUUAUAUUAAUGGCUUUCCUCUUGUAGCUAUUAUUGACACAGGUGCGACUCAUUCCUUUAUAUCUUUGGAUUGUGCUGUGAAACUUAAAUUAGAGAUAUCUGAGAUGCAUGGGAGUAUGGUGAUUGAUACUCCUGCGAAGGGUUCAGUGACUACUACUUCAGUUUGUUUAAAUUGUCCUUUGAGUAUUUUUGGUAGAGACUUUGGGAUGGACCUCGUGUGUCUUCCACUAGUGCAGAUUGAUGUUAUCCUGGGUAUGAACUGGUUGGUGUUUAACCGAGUUUAUAUCAACUGUUUUGAUAAGACUGUGAUCUUUCCUGAGAUUGAGGAAGGAAAGAGUUUGUUUCUAUCAGCAAGGCAGGUGAAUGAGGCAGUAGCAGAUGGGGCAGAGUUGUUUAUGCUGUUAGCGACUUUGGAGGCUAAAGAUAAACUGGUGAUUUGCGAUCUAGCCGUGGUGUGUGAUUUUCCUGAUGUGUUUCCUGAAGAAGUGAAUGAAUUACCGCCAGAGCGUGAAGUUGAGUUCUCGAUUGAUUUGGUACCUGGUACUAGGCCGAUAUCGAUGGCUCCGUACCGUAUGUCUGCUGUUGAGUUAACUGAAUUGAAGAGUCAGCUGGAAGAUCUGUUGGAUAAGAAAUUUAUUCGUCCGAGUGUGUCACCGUGGGGCGCACCAGUGUUAUUGGUUAAGAAGAAAGAAGGUACUAUGAGGUUGUGUGUGGACUACAGGCAACUGAAUAAAGUGACGAUCAAGAAUCGGUAUCCUUUGCCGAGGAUUGAUGAUUUGAUGGAUCAGUUGGUUGGUGCGAGUGUGUUCAGCAAAAUAGAUUUGAGAUCGGGGUAUCAUCAGAUACGUGUGAAAACUGAGGAUAUUCAGAAGACUGCUUUCAGAACAAGGUAUGGACAUUAUGAGUAUUCUGUAAUGCCUUUUGGUGUGACUAAUGCGCCUGGGGUAUUUAUGGAGUAUAUGAAUAGGAUUUUCCAUCCGUACCUAGACAAGUUUGUUGUGG